GACGAACGCUGGCGGCGUGCUUAACACAUGCAAGUCGAACGAAGAGCGAUGGAAGCUUGCUUCUAUCAAUCUUAGUGGCGAACGGGUGAGUAACGCGUAAUCAACCUGCCCUUCAGAGGGGGACAACAGUUGGAAACGACUGCUCAUACCGCAUACGAUCUAAUCUCGGCAUCGAGGAUAGAUUAAAGGUGGCCUCUACAUGUAAGCUAUCACUGAAGGAGGGGAUUGCGUCUGAUUAGCUAGUUGGAGGGGUAACGGCCCACCAAGGCGAUGAUCAGUAGCCGGUCUGAGAGGAUGAACGGCCACAUUGGGACUGAGACACGGCCCAGACUCCUACGGGAGGCAGCAGUGGGGAAUCUUCCGCAAUGGACGAAAGUCUGACGGAGCAACGCCGCGUGAGUGAUGACGGCCUUCGGGUUGUAAAGCUCUGUUAAUCGGGACGAAAGGCAUUCUUGCGAAAAGUGAGAAGGAUUGACGGUACCGGAAUAGAAGGCCACGGCUACCUACGU
rnacentral:rRNA from 1 species